UGCGUCUUGAGGUAGUAAUUUAUAAGGGCGUGGAGGGAGUUUGUUGAAUUCUGUUACCGUCGGAGUCGGACUCUAUCUCUAUCUCCAAAAGUCCGUUCUAAUCUAAUCUCUUCGUGCGUCGUCCUAAUCAGCGCGAGCCGCAGCCCCCGCUGACGCGAAUCGCGACCUCCGCGCGACCCUCCGCCACCGCACCCUCCGCUGACCCGGUCUCCCUGCCGCCUGGAGCGAUGAAACCGCACCCUCCGCCACCGCACCCUCGCGCCCAAGCCCAGACUCAAAACUCAGCCAAACCCCUCGCAUCUUCCCUCCCACCGAUGCGCUCGCGCCGCCGCUCCCCAUCCCCCCUCGACGCACCUCCCCAUCGGCCGCCCCACCCCCGCCCGCCGCGUCGGCAUCCUCCUCGUUCGCGGUUGGCUCGAGCGGCACCGAUGGAGCGACGGCUCCGUUUCCCAGAAGGCGAAAGGCCGAUGAGACCGACGGACGAUUCGUGCCGAUCGCACACCGGCAGGCGGUGGCGAGCCGGGCGGACGGGGCGGCGGCGGGCUCGCCGUACGCGGUGCAUAGGGGACAUGAGGGUGCUGCUGUCUAGGUCGUGUAGGUCGGUCGCCGGUCCCGCCCGCCGUCUCCACGGCCAAGACCGUGGUGGCGUCCUCCUCCAACGUUCGUCCGUGUUUGUCUCCAUGGCGCUCUCGAAUGCCUAAGCCAAGGCCGACCGCCUCGAGCUGGUGCUCGACGAAACGCCCCGCAGGACCGAGUUCUGGUAGACCAUGCUCGUCGAUUCGCUGGCGAGGGCCGGCCGACAGCACGACGCAUUCUGCCUCUCUGCGGAGAUGCGGGCCUCCAGCGUGGCCUGCGACUCCCACGUCUGCGUAUGUCACUACGGGAAGAGCUACAUAUUCAUCGUAAAUUAUGUGCAAAGGAUGUACAAGCAAGCUGCCCUUGUGCAGACAGACUCAGAGGUGUAGAGAAGACAUGGUGUCCGCUGAGGAUUGCAAGAUCCAUUGCUGCAUAGGCUGAUGUAUGCGGCACACCAUCAGGAGCAGACUGAUCCCGCACACAUAAGGUCAGGUACCCUCUAGAUUAGCAGAAAAAACUUAAACUUUUGGUCUUCUUCCUUUGAUUACGAACAAAUAUAAUAUAUUUUUUUCUGUAAAAUUUUAUAUAUUAUUGAACUUAUUAAAAUUUGUUCUAUAUCAUGUGGUCUCAGUGCACGCUUUGCGGAUUUUAUCCUGGGAAUUCUGAAUUUGGCUUGCCCUUUGCGGAUUUUCAAGUGGUGUGUGCUAUUUGUGGAUAGGUUUGGUGCUGCGAACAGAGUGUUAGAACCAAAUUCUUGUCAGGCUAAACCGAUUUAUAUCAUAGAUGCAGGUGAUUUUUUUUCUUAUGAUUAUGAUCUUAAAUGGGAUUUAGUUGGACCGUGCUAUUCUGCUAUAACUGUAAAGUUAGGGUGCCGAAUAGUUGAUGCACCUGCUUCAUCAUCUAGAAAAAAGAAAUAAAGGAGAUUUUUGACGAGUUUCAUUUUUUUAUGGAACCUUCGUUGGUGGCUCGAGCAACAUAUAAAGGCGAUCAUCACUUCCGAUGAGUUGAGUUUUAUUGCUUACUAUUUCCUUCCUUCCGAUUCUUAGCUGCUAGGAGCUUUCAAGUUGUUCCCUCCCAUAAUCUAGAGUAAUUACAGAUCUGUACACGUUAUAUAAGCAAUUUCCCUUAUGCAAACCUGGAUGAUUAGUUAUGUAUAUAGAAUUUUGAAGAGAAAAUAUAUUUUUUCGAAUACAGACUUUGUUCUGCCCUCGAAUCCUCCAUUUUAAAUAGCAGCUUGAUGUACUAGUUCUCACGUCAUGCUGCUAUAAAAUAAUUGGAAGGCCAUAGUUUAUUUGAUUGCCAUAGCCCAAAGUUUCACUUCCAUUGCCAUGGUUGAGUGAUGAAUUUCCAUGAUGCUCCUAUGGCGUAAAACAAACUAAAAAAGGUCGUCAUUAAUCAUUGUUGGAGUUGUGGUAAAACAUAUAUCAAAUCAUUUGGUUCAUGUGAACUGAUCUAGAAACCACGUUCUGUAUCAGCAACUCAGCGCACAAGGCUGACUAGAGAGCAACUGUAAGCUUACCACAAACACUAAAAGCCUUCUUCCAACUGGUAUGACAGUUCCACUUGGCUUCUCCCUAUGUGUGUUUCAAAUCAAAAUGUGCAAGAGACACAUACCCAAUUGAAGACCCAUCCAUGGUGCCUGAAACAUUAAUAAACCUUAUGUAGUUCCAAACCUCACGGCAUAAUAUAGCAAGCUGAUUGCGGUUAACUUACCACUGAGAGGGCAUUUUUUGUAACGGUCGAUGGUGCCCGGCACGAUUUCACCAAUUAAGGACCCACUUUCAUCAUUUGUUUGUGGAGUCCUCAACGAUUGAUGAUUACUACCUAGCCAUGUACCAGCAGUUGACACUGGACUCGUUAAAAAAGAUCUUGUGACCUGUACAAUCAACUACAAACUUAUAAUUUCGUAAACCUGUAUUUGACUAUUUGUUAGCAUACUGCACAGCAGUGAAAGCAGAGACAUUCAGUAGUUAGAUAGGUAGAAACUUAAGAGCAUACUUCUUGACUUAUGAGGUCCACACACAAAAACGAAAAAUCGUCUAACAUUUGUUCAAACAGAUGAAGCGCAUGUCAUUAGAGUUGGUUGCCCGUACUAUAUCUGUGGACAUGUGAGCAGAUGUUAACUUGGUUUUUAUUGUCCACCUUCCCAUCAUUGGACAUGUGAGCACGGCUAUCAUGGAGUUCUUCAACCAAUGGCCCACAAUAGUGCUUGCCCUUUUGAACUCACCCGCGUUCAAAAACAUCACAUGCUCACAAAAUCAGUAAGGAAAGCAAUAAAAGACAUAACUUGUUUCUAAAACGGUGGCUUUUGUUUCUUCAGUUCACCAUCAUAUUCAACUUUGUCAUUGUAUGUUGCUAAAAAAACUCGGUCGGGGAGGGAAAGACCGUCCUCCCGGUAUUAUAUUAAGAAAAGACCGAAACAAUGGUCUCGGUCGAGAAAAACUUCGAACCCUGGCCCUAUCACUAAUGGGCCUCGUCAACGGUCCACUCUGCAACGGCUCAACCGGAGAUAAGAAUAAAAAGGGGCCCAAAGGAGCACCCAUAUACAAACCUCUUGUUACGGCGGCCAAAAACAAGCAUACACAAAACUAUCCAUAAAAACACCGAGAAAACUACUGCAGCCCUCCAGCACUAGUACUGGGAGCAGCCAAAAAGGAGAGACCCUUUGCUCCAGCAGCUUGCCAUUUCUCCCUCUUCUCAUUGACAAAAUCCAAGAGCAUGGUGAGGCUUGGUGACACACCAUCAAAUACCACUCCGUUCCUAUGCUUCCAAAUCAACCAUGCCCCAAGAAUGACCAGAGAGUCCAAUCCUUGUCAAGCCAGACACAAUGGCUGAAAUUCUUUUCCACCACAAUAGGAAGUGAGUGUCAUCAUGAAGAGGAGCCAAACUUUCUUAGAAUGUUAUACCAGCACACCCUUCAGAAAACACAAGAUACCAGCAAAUGGUUGGUCUCUGGCUCUUAAUCACAAAUGGGGCAUCUAGGAGGGUGAUUCAAGCCUCUUUUUUCCAGCCUGUCAGCAGUCCAGCAUCUAUUAUGAGCCACCAACAACAAAAAAGAACUUGCAUUUGGGGGUGCCCAAGACUUCUAGAUCCUUUGAUAAUGUUCAAAGGAAACAGAUCCAAAAAGAGGCCAUUGUAUACGAACUAGCAGAAUAUUGGAUAUCGGGGGCAACUGAAAAAAUAUGUUUAUCCUUAGUAUUAGGUUGCAACACCAUACCAGAUAAAGAGUUCCAAAGGUGAAGAUAGUCAGUCAAAGCUCCCACAGUUAAUGCCCCUCUAAUAUCAGCAAUCCAACCUCUGUUUAACAAGGCUUCUUCAUUUGGCUAGCCUCUAUUAAUCAUUGUUGGACGACUGAUCGUCUAGCCCGUAGAGGUUUGGGCCACCCCCAGUGUUGCUUACUUUGUGAUAAGCAGGAAGAGACGGUGCAACACUUGUUGGUGUCUUGUGUUUUUGCAAGGGAGGUCUGGUUCAGAAGUUUGGGCAGAAUGAGGUUGCAGCACUCGGCGCCCAUUCCUGAUUCUGCUGUGUUCCAGGAUUGGUGGAGAGAAUCUGAGGAAUUGGUGCCUAAGCCACAAAAGUAAGGAUUCAAUUCCUUGGUGAUUUUAGUGGCUUGGCAAAUUUGGAAACAUAGGAACACUUGUGUUUUUGAAGCUGCUUCUCCGUAUAUCAGCAAGAUUUUGCAUGAUAUUCAUGAUGAAGCUGUUUUGUGGGGUAUGGCUGGGGGUAGGGGCCUAUGAGGCCAGUAACCAUCCCUCUCCUUCCUGAGGUCUAGUGUGUUUGGAUUGGUUGUGUGUGUCUGAUGGAUUGUUUCAGUUUUCUGUGUUUUUGCCCUCCGUAAGGAAACCCAUGUAUUUGCCUAUUUGGUCUUCUUAGACCUUUUCCUUUCCUGUUAAUAUAAUGAGGCACAGUUAUCCUGCGUUUUCGAGAAAAACAAGGUUUCCUGUACAGUUGUUCUGGAAGCAAUUCUUUUUGGGAUAAUACUGAACAACCUUGGGGCAAUAUCUGAGACUCUCUUUCCAUUAAUCCAUUUGUCAGUCCAAAAAAGGGUAUUACAGCCAUUCCCAACCUCAGUGAUAAGAAUAACAGAAAAGAAUGAUCUGGCCUUACUAGGAACUUGUAUAGGGAGAUCAAUCCAUGGUUUGGUAGGGUUAGUUUUUUCCAACCAAAGCCAUCUCAUUAUAAGUGCCCAACAAAGCUCAGGGAAACUAGAGAUACCCACACCUCCCAUUGCCUGAGGUCUGCACACUUCCCCCAAGCAACCAGACAAUGGCCACCCUUCGCUUCCCUCCUUCCUCUUCAUAAGAAACCCUUCCCGAUCUUAUCAAAUUCAUUAAUGCCCCAUUUGGGGAAGUCAAUAGCCAUUGCAGUAUAGACAGACAUCCCAGUAAGAACAUGCUGCACCAAAACUCUUCUGCCUGCCCUGUUAAGCAAAUCAGCCUUCCAGUUGGGUAACCUAUCAGCAAUUUUGUCCACCAAGGGCCAGGAUUGAUGCUUAGAAAGUUUUUGUAAGGAUAAUGGAAGGCCCAAAUAUUUGCAAGGGAAGGAAGCAAUCUCACAAGGUAAGAUGUUUUGAACAGCCAGGAUAGUUUCCUCAGAACAUCUUAUGGGAUAAAUAUUAGACUUUUGAGCAUUGUUAUGGAGUCCAGAAGCAUCCCCAAAAAGUUUUAGGAUGUCAAGGGUGGUAGAGAUAUCAGCCUGGGUGGGAUGCAAAAACAGGGCCACAUCAUCAACAUAGAUUGAUAUUCUGUGUAAUUUUUUCCUGCUGCAUAAAUGUUGUAACAAACCUUCCUCAGCUUUGAAAAAUAGAAAACUCAGAACAUCCAUAGAAAGAAUAAACAGCAUUGGAGACAAAUGGUCUCCCUGUCUGAGGCCUCUUCUAUGUUGGAUAAUUGUGCCUGGACCGCCAUUCAAAAGCACUUGAGUGGUAGAUGAUCCAAGAAGCUCACAUAUGAUGUCUCUCCAUAUCAGACCAAAACCCAUCUGUUUCAUUACUUCAAUCAAGAAAGGACAAGAAACAGAAUCAAAUGCUUUUAUUAUAUCUAACUUGAAGAGCAAUCUGGCCUUAUUCUGUGAAUGCAGUAAUCUGGAUUUCUGUUGGACCAACAUGAAAUUGUCUUGAAUAAAUCUUCCUUUGAUGACAGCACUUUGGUUUGGGGAGACUAUCUCAUUCAGUUUUUUUGCCAGUCGGUUGGCAAGCACCUUGGUGACUAAUUUGGCAAAACUAUGUACCAAACUAAUGGGUCUGAAAUCCUUGACCUGAUCAGCCCCCUCCACUUUAGGGAUCAUAGUAAUAUAUGCUGAAUUGAGUCUGCUCAUAUUUGUGAAAUUUCUGUGCCAAACAGCUCCCACUGCCUUUAGCACAUCUUUUUUGAUAAUAUUCCAGCAUACUUUAUAGAACCUUCCAGUGAAACCAUCAGGCCCAGGGGCCUUGUUAGAAGGCAAAUUUCUAAUAGUGUCCCAAGUUUCCUGUUCUGAAAAUGGGAGAUCCAAUUCAGAGAGAUUAUGCACAGGUAACCCAAGAGCCUCAAGGUUUAUAGUUCUUUCCCUCCCUGCAGCCAGCCCUAUAAGGUUGUAUAGAAGUGAUCUACAAGAGCUUCUUUCUCAGUAUGGCUAGUUAAAGUAUUCUCCCCAUCUCUGAGUUUGGUCACCAAGUUCUUUCUCUUUCUAUGUCUGGCAUGCAUGUGAAAAAACUUGGUGUUUGCAUCCCCAUCCUUCAACCAACUGAUUCUUGAUCUUAAUCUUGCCAUAGUCCUUUUGAAUGAGGUCAACAACAAGGAUUGCUUUUUAAGCUUAUUUUUAAGCCACAAUUCAGCAGGAGUAAGGAAGAUCCUGGGCAAUCUCAAACCUGUGCAAAAGCUCCUUUGCCAAAGCCAACUAGGAAGUCACAUGGCCAACCUGCCUAUCACUCCAACUCUGUAGUCUCCUCUCCUAGAAUUUUCUUUAAGCUUCCUUUGCAAGGUCAGAUAAGGACAAGGAGAAGGUCCAACAGAAGUCCAAGCAGCCUGUACAGUAUCAAGGAAUCCCUCCAUGUUUGGCCAAAAUGCUUGAAAGUGAAAUCCUUUCUUUCCAUGGAAAUUAUCCUUUAGACCGAGAAGCAGGGGUCAAUGAUCAGAAUCUUGGGAGGCAGAGCUUUGAAGCAGAACAUUAGGGAAAUAUGAUGUCAAUGAGCAGAAAACCCUAUCAAGCUUAACCAACACAGGGUUGUCCUGCUAAUUAGACCAGGUGUAUUUUCUACCAUGUAGUUGUAUUGUAUCUCUCUUAGAGCAAGAUCAUUGAUCACAGACCUGAAUCUACCCAUCAUAGCCCUAUUUAGGUUUGAAUUAUUUUUGUCAGAGUCCCAUGCAAUGACCCAUGUCCCAUCACAAGCAGCCCUGAUGUCCUAAAUUUCUUGAAGGAAAAGAAUUUUCUCAGCAUCAGUCUGAGGCCCAUACACACAAGUUAACCACCAGGGAAUUCCAUCAUCUUUGCAAAACUGGACAGAAACACAAUGGGCAUCCAUCCUUUGUACUCCUGUAUGUCCUACAUUUCUUUUCGAAGCAACUAGAAUUCCUCCGCUAGCACCAACAGAAGGUAGAAAAACAAAUUCAGUAAACUCAACUCCCGAUGUCACCCUGAGUAAUAAGUUACAUUUUUGUUUCCUGACAGCACACUAUAUCCACCUGAAAGGAAUCCACCAGGUCUCUAACAGUAUCCAUCCGAACAGAAGAAUUAAGACCCCUAACAUUCCAAACAAGAAUUUUAGAAGGAUCCAUAGAAAACAAAAUAGAUCAACCAAGGGGGUGGGACCAGAACACUAAUACUUCAAAUUAUCAGGAAGUGCCCAGCCAAAUAGGGCAGAAGGGGCUUCCACCUGAUCCUAAUUCAGAAAGUGAUUGAACAGCCUAGCAUAUUCUUUUAGAGCUUCCCAAUGGGGAUGGCAACGGGAAAUUCCCCGUCGGGGAAUAGCUCCCCAUCCCCGUCCCCGCGGCAUCCACACGAAUGCUUGUGGGGAACAUUUCUUCUCCAUCCCCAUUUCCCACGGGGAUAAAUCCCCAACGGGGAUCCCCAUCCCCGUUUAAAUUAUAAUUAAGACUUACGUUCUUUGUUAUUGAUGUUAAACAUUGUCACUUAUACACAUUGUCAGAUGUAAGAAAUCAUUAUGCAUACAUCAAAAUGAACAUGUUUGUACAAUUAGUGGCCUCUUAACAAGGUAAUUAUUUAUUUUUGUCGUUAACUAGUACACGAAAAAAACGUCACAUGCAAGUUUAACGGGCCCCGCGGGGAACGGGGAAUGGGAAUGCUUCCCCGUCCCCAUCCCCGUUUACCCGUCGGGGGAUAAAUUUUCCCCGUUUAUAUCCCCGCGGGGGAAGUUUCUUCCCCAUCCCCUAAUGGAGGACUUCUACGCGGGGAAUCGGAGAUCGGGUCCCCAUUGCCAUCUCUACUUCCCAACACAGAUUCUCUAUAUAUGUUUGAUGAUGUGGUUAUAUUUAUCCAACCAACAGUUAGAGAUAUUAGUACUGUACUGGACAUUCUUCAUAUUUUUGGGGAGGCUUCCGAGUUGCGAACCAAUAUCCAGAAAAGCAAUGUAUACCCAAUUAGAUGCGGGGAACAAGACUUGACCUUGCUGCAAAACUCGUCGCCUUGUGAGAUCUCGCAAUUUCCCUGCAAAUACUUGGGUCUACCUCUUGCCAUAAAGGAACUUACCAAGGACCAAGUACAACCGAUUAUUGAUAAAAUUGCUAACCAACUGACAGGGUGGAAAGCUGAUUUGAUGACUAAGGCUAGAUUAAAGGUACAUGUGCAGUUUGUCCUCACAUGGAUGGUCAUAUAUCUCGCAAUGGCUGUGGAUUUACCACCUUGGGCUAUCAAAGUAUUGACAAGAUCCGACGAGGCUUUCUUUGCCGAGGGCGCAAAGAAGCGAGGGAAGGACACUGUCUUGUUGCUUGGGGAAAAGUUUGUCGGCCGCUUGAGCUUGGUGGGCUGGGGAUUUCCAAUCUCAAUGAUCUUGCUUGGGCACUUCGUAUGCGUUGGCUCUGGUUAGCAAAAACUGAUCCAAGACGGCCAUGGGCAUCUCUUGCUAUACAAGUUCCCAGCAAUGCUAAAGAUUUCUUCUCAGUGGCUAUGCAAACUGAAAUUCGUAAUGGGGCCUCUACUCUGUUUUGGUCUUAUCGUUGGUUGAUGGGACACAGGGUCGUGGACAUUGCCCCAUCAUUAUUCCAGAAUAUUCCUAAAAGAAGGGUUAAUAAGAAGAUUGUCUUGGAUUAUCUCUCUAAUCAUACAUGGAUUUCGGACAUACAAGGAGCUCUUACUGUAUAUCUUGCUCUAUGGGAUAAUCACCUUGGUUCAACUUAGACCUGAAGUGGAUGACACUCACUUUUUUCGUCUCGUCACCAAUGGGAAGUAUUCAGCAAAGGCAGCCUAUGGGGUUUUUUCCUUGGGUCGACGACUUUUGAACCGUACUACAGAAUUUGGAAAACCUGGGUUCCUCCAAAGACCAAGUUCUUCAUGUGGCUGGUAGCUCAACGAAGGCUUUGGAUAGUUGACAUGAUGCAAAAGAGGCAUGGAUCACCCUGUGAUCAGGAGCAGGAAACACUUGACCAUCUACUGAUUGGGUGCGUGUUCGCCCGGGAUUUCUGGUUUAAACUUAUAUCUCAAGUUAAUCUCCAAAGCAUGGCCUCUCAGCAUGUUGAUGCAUCUUUUAUGGGCUGGUGGAGAUGGCUGGGCAAUCAGGUCCAUGGAGUGGCUGGGUAAACUCUGGUAAUUUUAGGAGCAUGGACACUGUAGAAACAACGGAAUAACUUUGUCUUCGACAGAACUAGACCUAAUGUGGAUCUUGCUGUUAGGAUGGCUGAUCAAGAGCGAGAGAAGUGGAAGCUGGCUGGAGCAAGAAAGCUAUCCUUGCUAACUAGUCACAUCCCGGGUCAGUAGGCUGUGUUAGAGUUAGUAGUUUUGUGUGUUUUAUACAUGGAUGAGUAUUAGUGUGCCUGUACUUGGCCCCCGUAAGGUGGCUGUUUUGUAUUAUCUUUGUAUUUCUUCUUAAUGGAAUGGUAUGCAGCCCUCCUGCGUUUUUCGAGAAAAAAACUUCUUGAGCUAAAACACUAUGUGAUGCUGUUUGGGGGGCAUUUGCAGGAUGUUAUACUACCAUGAAUAUUGGAUGAUGCCACUCUAGCAAGUUUAAACACAAUGAUACACUCAAAUAAUGUUUAUGUUAGUGCUUCUGCGGUUCUGCCUCUCCCCAGUGUUGGUAUCCUUAAAUUGUUUCCCAUUUGUUACUUAUGAUAUAUAUGCAAGCAGGUACUAGGUGCAAGCGUGUAAUCAGACUUUUUAGCCUGUUAGAUCUGUAUCCAACGGUAAAUAUAAUUGUGGUUUGUUAGAGUUUUUUUAUAAAGCUAUACCAGGUGGUGGUGGAAGGGUUUUAAGGGCCUGUUUGGUUCACUACCUCAGUUGCCACACUUUGUCUAACUUUUCUGCCUAAGGUUAGUUAUUCAGGGCACGUUUGGUUUGUGGCUAACUGUGCCCCACUUUGCCUAAGGUUAGUCGUUCGAAUUGAAUAACUAACCUUAGGCAGAAAAGUUAGGCAAAGUGAGGCAAGUUAGGCAUCAAUCCAAACGGGCCCUCAAUUCGAACGACUAACCUUAGGCAAAGUGUGGCACAUUUAGCCACAAACCAAACAGGCCCUAAGUGCUAAAUAUGACAUACCGUUGGAUCUAGAUCUAACGGAUCCAAAUGUCUCCUUGCGUGCUUGCACCUAGUACAUGCUUGCAUAUUAGUCGUUCCCAUGAUAUAAUGAUCUGUUGCAGCUAUAAAUUGGAGCUGACAAUUAAAUCUUUUUCCAUCCUAUCUUCUGACAGGAAAAACAUUGCUUGCGAAAACGUUAGCACGUAUUGUAAAUGUACCAUUGGUUAUAGCUGAUGCGACAUCAUUAACGCAAGCAAGUUCAUUACUGACUUACUAACAUUGUUUUCUUUAGAAUGUCUUGGAAAGGAGUGCAGAUGUUACUAGACAUGUAUCUGGAGAAGGUGUUCAACAAGCAUUGUUGAAAAUCCUAGAAGGAACUGUAAGUUACUAAAGUUGCCUUUGGUUUUGUGCCUGUGGAAUUAGGAGUUUAGAAGCUAUCUUCGAUUCACUUUUUUUUAUAAGGAUCUUUGAUUGACUUUAAACCUCAGUAAUGAUUCUUUGUAUGUUGCCUACUUAUUCCUAACGCAUGUUGUUAAUAUUCAUGAGAAAGUAUCACACAAGAAUUCUCGCAAUGAUAGUAUACAGGUUACAUACCCUAUAUGGUCCUUAAUGAAUACGUGCACUAUAUAUCAUAUGGGUUAAAUUUGGAUUCAAUUGAAUGAAAAAGGAUCUUUAAAAUGUUCUUUUUUAUGUCAUAAGGACCCUGUACUACAUUACACAUAAUGAGCAGAGGAAGUGUUACCUCAAAAACAUUUAUUGACAACCAGAUAACAGCAAACACGCUGGUUGUGUUAAAAAUGUGCAGGGCAUAAGUAUUCUACUCCCUCCGUCUUAAAAUAUAAGAAAUCUAGAGUUCAAAAUUUGCACCAAAAUACAAGUAUUCUGGAGUUCCCUUUUUCUUUGUCUUUUAGCAUACAAUAUUGAGAUUCCUUUUAAAAUUAGCAUCACCCAAACAGCCACUCAGUUGUUUGCAGUCUUAUUUUCAAUCUUGGAUUCAUGCUUUUCUGUUUUUCUGCUGAAGAUAUUUAGUUACCAAUCUUCCUUUCUGUUUGGCUUUAAAUAUGUUUUUAUCUAUCCCAAAAAGUUGCUCAACCUAUGUGCUUUUGAAAUGCUACUACAUUUUCAGGGCAUAGAAUAAGGUGAUUGACCACUUCCAUUUAAAAAUUGCUUCCAACUUUUCCUAAAGAACAUUCCACGAAGUCAUAACUCACGCCCUAUUGGUGAUGGGCAAAAAUUAGCGCAUUAGCUACCAUUCAAGUGCUUAUAUAGGUUGUGAAUGUUUUAGUUUGUGUUAUUUGAUAAUAUAUCAAACUUGUUUUAUUUGAAUGUAAAUGAUUUGGACUGAUAUCUUGCUUCAAGAUCAUCUAUGUUUUGUUGUCUUGGAUAUUGUUACUUUAUCUUCAUAAUUUACCGCUAUCAUUUGUCCUUCUCAUAUUGAUGUUAGGUAGUUCCAGUUGACGAUGUGUGAAUCAGGCAAUCGUCGCCCUUGUGCAGCUUUGCUCCAUGGUGAAUUUAAAUUAUUUUAUUUUGCCAAACUGAUUCUGAGUUGUGGAAAAUACCAACAUACGAGAACUCAGUUUGGUCAAUUAUGGCAAUUUCAUUUAUAUCACUGCUUGUUAUGUCUGCUAUCCUAGGUGCUUGUUUCUUUGUGAGGAGACACCGGAUAGGAUGGGACAUUGCUCGCCCUCCCCAAGCUCGGUAGUUCCAUGGAAUGAACAACCAAUUAGUUAAAGCAAUGUCAAGUCUUAUUUUCACACAAAAGUGCAAGAUGUUGAUUGUACAUCAUCAACAUGUGCCAUUUGCUUGGAAGACUACAUCAGAAACGUCAUAUAUUUUGGAACAGAGGUAGUAGUCAAUAAUUAGCUUAUUCGUUUUUUAUAUGGUUGUAUAUAUCCUAGCAAGAGACCACUCUGUAGUCAUUUCCUUAGUUUCUUGAGAGCUGGGACCACACUUAUAGUGAAGAAAACUAUGUUCAACUAACAGAAUUAACUUGGAUGCACCUUUGCACAAUCAUAUCUGUACAAGUUUUGGCGGCAUAUGCUUAUUUCAAAUUA